AUGCUGCUUUAGAUCCCGCCCAGAUCAGAUCAAAGGCGGUCCAUUUUUUUUCUUUCUAAAAGAGCGAAAGUUUACAGGUGGAUGGGUGCUCUUUAGGUGUUUACUACCUCACAUCAAGGUGAUAGGAUUCGAACCUAUGGCCCUCUGUACCCAAAAUAGAUGCGCUGACCAGACUGCGCUACACCUUGUCUCACCCCCCUCCGCAUAUAGAUCCACCCGAUCGAUGAAGACUCGAACCGAACUCGCCCAUCCUUUUGGGCACAGGAACUCGCCCAUCCUUUGUAAUCAACCGCUUUUUUUUUAUAAAAUCUGCCUCCAGCAAGCCACGCCAACCCUACCGCCAAAAAGCCGUAUAGUGCAGGAGCGCUCACAUUUUGGCUUCCUCUUUUAUUCACUUUCAUUUUUGAAAAUCCGGCUCGCUCCCGGCUACCUUUCCCUUGGACCCAAAGCCCGCUUAGAAGUGGAUUCGAACCACUGACACAAGGAUUUAAAGUCUUUUGCUCUAAUCAG